rnacentral:misc_RNA from 1 species
UAAUAAGUGUUUUAUGGCACUUUUUUAAUCCAUAUCCACCUUGUGUGCAAUGUCAGUCGAUCUUCUUUAUGGAGAUCGGCCAAACAUCAACCUUAUUUUUUAACUCUUUGUCUGAAAAAUAUCAUGAAUAAACAAUUCAAAAUA